rnacentral:tRNA from 1 species
UAAAAAGUAAGCUAACCUAAAUAAGCUUUUGGGUUCAUACCCCAAAUAUAGACAAUUUUCUCUUUUUAA